rnacentral:rRNA from 1 species
UACGGGGGGGGCAAGCGUUGUUCGGAAUUACUGGGCGUAAAGGGCUCGUAGGCGGCCAACUAAGUCGGAUGUGAAAUCCCCAAGCUUAACUUGGGAACUGCAUCCGAUACUGGAUGGCUUGAAUCCGGGAGAGGGAUGCAGAAUUCCGGGUGUAGUGGUGAAAUGCGUAGAGAUCCGGAGGAACACCAGUGGCGAAGGCGACACGCUGGGUCAUACCUGACGCUAAUACGCGACAGCAUGGGGAGCAAACGGG